ACAUCCUGAGAUUCAAGAUAUGGUUCAAUAAGAAAUCAAAGAAGCAACAAACAUGAGAAACAAAUUAAGUCACAGGUGUUAAAGAUUUUGCAAACAGUGCGAGUGAAGAAAGCCUAGAAAUGAUAAGUAGCUUCAUGUAAUUUGGAACAAAACUCUCGCGAGUCUAUCCUGCAUCUCAGUGACUGCAGACUCGUAUUUGGUGCAACUAGACAAUUUGAAGUUAUACGAGGACAAGUAAUGGACAAAUGUCUCAACAAGCCACACGCGUGGACAAAUGCUAUAGGUUGUUAGUUUCAAGGAACUUAUAAUUGAUGAAGAAUCAAUGGAGAUUACCUCUGACGACAAGUUACCACUAAUGAGGAUUAUGGAACUAGCCUAUGAUGUCAAUUGUCAAGUUACCAUCUGAUGAAGAUUAAGGGAACUUACCACCGAAGCGAAUUACCUCUAGUGAA